rnacentral:rRNA from 1 species
UGGGGAAUAUUGCACAAUGGGCGCAAGCCUGAUGCAGUCAUGCCGCGUGUGUGAAGAAGGCCUUCGGGUUGUAAAGCACUUUCAGCGAGGAGGAAGGGGUUGAGUUUAAUACGCUCAAUCAUUGACGUUACUCGCAGAAGAAGCACCGGCUAACUCCGUGCCAGCAGCCGCGGUAAUACGGAGGGUGCAAGCGUUAAUCGGAAUUACUGGGCGUAAAGCGCACGCAGGCGGUUUGUUAAGUCAGAUGUGAAAUCCCCGCGCUUAACGUGGGAACUGCAUUUGAAACUGGCAAGCUAGAGUCUUGUAGAGGGGGGUAGAAUUCCAGGUGUAGCGGUGAAAUGCGUAGAGAUCUGGAGGAAUACCGGUGGCGAAGGCGGCCCCCUGGACAAAGACUGACGCUCAGGUGCGAAAGCGUGGGGAGCAAACA